GCCGGUUUGACUCAAUGUAUAGAGUGUCAGCCUGCGGACUGAAGAGGCCUGGGUUUGAUUCCCAGUGAGGGCA
rnacentral:tRNA from 1 species